rnacentral:rRNA from 1 species
AUGGCGCAACAGAACGCGGAUAAAAUAUUGGAGAAGAGUACCCUGUUAUGCAAUGGUAAAGGAAGUAAUGCAGAUAAGGUUCAAGAUAGUGAGACAUCCCUGUUGGUCUCUAAUAAAGCUGAUAAAAACUAUAUUGAAGACACUGAGACAACCCCAAAGUCCUGUCUUGAUGUAGUGUUCGAGUUACCGGCUACCACUGCCGGCACCAGCUCUUCGAAAUCGUUGCCUGAAUCAGUUCGGCUUCUUGAGUCUCAACUUCAAAUUGAAAGACAUCAAUCAGAUGUUAUGCGACAGGAAGCCGAAGGACUGAGGAAGUCCCUGCAUAAUUCAGAUGCAUACUUUCUGGUGCAACAGCAAGCGCUGGAGGACUUAAGCGCCAAACAAGAUAAAGUUACUAAGCUUGCUAAGCAUCUUGCCAGCAUUAUGGGUACCCAGGAUAUUGUUUCUUGA